UAGUCCACACCGUAAACGAUGGAAGCUAGCUGUCAGAAUGUAUACAUUUUGGUGGCGCAGCUAACGCAUUAAGCUUCCCGCCUGGGGAGUACGGUCGCAAGAUUAAAACUCAAAGGAAUUGACGGGGGGCCCGCACAAGCGGUGGAGCAUGUGGUUUAAUUCGAUGCAACGCGAAGAACCUUACCUACCCUUGACAUCCUCAGAACUUGUUAGAGAUAACUUGGUGCCUUCGGGAACUGAGAGACAGGUGCUGCAUGGCUGUCGUCAGCUCGUGUCGUGAGAUGUUGGGUUAAGUCCCGCAACGAGCGCAACCCUUGUCCCUAGUUGCCAGCACAUAAUGGUGGGAACUCUAGGGAGACUGCCGGUGACAAACCGGGAGGAAGGUGGGGAUGGACGUCAAGUCAUCAUGGCCCUUAUGGGGUAGGGGCUACACACGUGCUACAAUGGUCGGUACA
rnacentral:rRNA from 1 species